AGUUGGUAAACCCCGGUUAACACACUGCGCGCACAGAAAACUGCGCCAAUUUCGACAAACUUAAAGCGUAGUAAAACUGACGCCUUCGUGUUGUGUUCUUGUGAGUCGACGGAAGACGGAAGCACUUUUACACAAGUUUGUCUCUCGGAUACAGUUCUUCGUGACGUGGACGUUUCGUUCGUUAUUACCAAAUUUCGAGCGAAAGUGACACGUGGUUCCAGCUGUGUGCUGCCAAGAUAAAAAGUAAUGAGUGGCGCCGCCGUCUUCCGCUAGCGCUUCAAUUGUUAAGACCUCAAGGUGCGCAACUAAGCGGAGGUUCGAUGCCGCUUAGCAACUUUCCGUUUCGCCAUCAUGGCGUGCGUCGGACCCAUCACACCAGGCUGGACCAGCCAAUCGAUGCGGUCGUUUAUGUCAGUGUUGUGUUCGUGCUCUUCGCUGCCAUCAUUCUGCUGUUGGUCGCCACUACCUGCCGUCGCUUCCAGCCGGGAGGUUUAUCCAGCCCUCCAGAGGAGCCACCAGAAAACAACAGCGAGCCCCGGCCAACAAUAGUCAGGCUUAAGGACCACCGCACCCGUGUGUGCACGGAGACGCUGCCGACGAGGAACACUGUGUAAAUGGGCAGCGUUAAGCAUUGCGCUGCGCUGGACCAGUGUUGAAAUUGUCACCAUC